ensembl:lncRNA
AUCCUUUAGUGCCAACUUGCACCCGUAAACCCAGUGAGCUCAGUGCUUGCUUGGUGCACGAUGUUAAGCCUGAGAGGUGCUGGUCGGUGGGACUCCCGUAUCCAUCACUUGUGUUCUACCCACGCUACAGACAGCGUCAGGACCAAAUGCAUCCUCCUACGUUGGUCCCAGCCAAGCUGAGGAGGUUUGCAACAUCAGACAGUCCGGUUUUACUCUGAGUGACAGAGCUCCAUCAUCAGACAUCUCACUGUACUUAUGCUUCCCAAACUCUUCUCCCAAAGCCAGCAGGAGCUGCAGUGAGCCCAGCAUGCUGUGCAGCAGCUCCAGAGCCCAUCCCCUCUUCUCUGCCUCUGCCCGCCCGCUGCGGUGGCACAGCUGUGCAGGGGACAUCAGGGGGCACAGAGCAGCCACAGACCUCAGGUCCCAGCAUCUCCAGUGCAGCGAGUUGGAAAGGGAAUAGAUGAGGUUCCCAUGGGAACGGAAAGUGCUGACAUUUCUAAACUAAAAAAGGAAAGAAGCAGCAAAGCACGUGCCCAACAUGACUGCAUGCACAUGGAGGGGGGAAUUUCUUUUCCCCCUCUCCUGCGCUUGAAGGUAAGGCACUUCUAAAGUAAUUCCCAUUAGGAUACACACGAGGCAAGCAGUUUCUGUUUGUCCUGUCUGGGAGCUGUCAGUCAGACUGGCUGCCAACAAAGCUCGUCCUCAUGCAGGACAGCACUGUGCAGCCUUUACCUGCAGCACACAGACGGAGACGAAGCGCAAUGACUCCGCUGAAGCACUUCUGUCUCACGCAAAAUGAUUGAGAUAAAUAAGGCAAAUUAAACUGCCACAUUGCAGUGAGUGAGUUCUUUGUAAUGGCCGGAUGGAACGUAUUAACUGCACGGUAAUUAAGCAUCCCGGAGCUUCAGAUGGGAAGAUGUGGAGCAGGGGGAGAUGUCUGUCCUCCCACUGGGUGGCACAGCCACACAGGGGCUGGUGGCUCAGCGGGGCCACAGGGCGCUGCAUGGAGACCCCCAGGGCACCCAACCCAGGAGCUGAUGGGCUCUGGCUCUUCCAGGCAGCUCUAGCUCUGCACAGCGAGGAGGAGAAGUCGCUGAGGGAGAGGUUGGUGGUUGGCCUCUGCUCACCCUAAGGCACGGCCAAGGAGAAGGGGUGAGGAGGGCAGGGAGGCCGGGCUGAGCCCACCACCCAACCAGCGGUCCCCACCCCUCCUGUGGGCAGCAGGACACAGCACACGGCCGCAGGAGCUGCGAUGCAGGGAGCCUGGAUGCAUCUCCCCCCAAGCAUGGCAGAGCCACGGGACAGAGGUUUAAACUGCCCACAUGCUUGGGCACUCCAGAGGGGCCCCUCCUGCACCCCGGGUGAAACCCUGGAACUUGGGGGACUUCAUCACUUAUUUCCACGGAGCCAACAUUCCAUGCCGGCGCCUGGCACGGUGCAGGCUGGGGCACUUGGCCACACUGCUGCCAGCCUGUCCCUGCCAUGCUGCUUGUGAAAGCACCAGUAUUUUUAGGUGCUUGUUCUCUCCAAGCGUCUCACAAUAUCUCCAUCCCUUCCCCUGCACCUGUGUGGCUUUUAUUUUCCUCCCCAGCGCAGCCCCGUGACGCCGUUAUCUGGAGGCAGAAGCGCGGUGCUGAGCAGAUGCUGCAGGAGAGGUUUCCCAAGCAACAGUAUCCAGGUGGGGGUG